rnacentral:rRNA from 1 species
GACGAACGCUGGCGGCGUGCUUAACACAUGCAAGUCGAACGGAAAGGCCCUGCUUUUGUGGGGUGCUCGAGUGGCGAACGGGUGAGUAACACGUGAGUAACCUGCCCUUGACUUUGGGAUAACUUCAGGAAACUGGGGCUAAUACCGGAUAGGAGCUCCUGCUGCAUGGUGGGGGUUGGAAAGUUUCGGCGGUUGGGGAUGGACUCGCGGCUUAUCAGCUUGUUGGUUGGGUAGUGGCUUACCAAGGCUUUGACGGGUAGCCGGCCUGAGAGGGUGACCGGCGAAAUUGGGACUGAGAGACGGCGCAGGAUACUACGGGAGGCAGCAGUGGGGAAUAUUGCACAAUGGGAGGAAGCCUGAUGCAGAAACGCCGCGUGCGGGAUGACGGCCUUCGGGUUGUAAACCGAUUUCGCCUGUGACGAAGCGUGAGUGACGGUAAUGGGUAAAGAAGCACCGGCUAACUACGUG